rnacentral:lncRNA from 12 species
CCCCCCCCCCCCCCCCCCCCCCCCCCCCCCCCCCCCCCCCCCCCCCCCCCCCCCCCCCCCCCCCCCCCCCCCCCCCCCCCCCCCCCCCCCCCCCCCGCCGUCCCGCAGCGGGAGCCCCGGGGCUGGCGCGGUCCGGGCGUGCGGGCGGAGCCCGGCUCUGGCCCCGCCGGGGUGCCAGCGGAGCAGCCGCUUAUUCGGGUGUCCCGGGGCGGGAUUUUGUCACUUGUUAGUGUGCGCCCUGGAACGAGCCGUCUCCGCGGGAGGAGCUACUGCGGAGAGGCGGUCCGGGUUGGUCGAGGCGGUCCGGGUUGGUCCCGGCGGGCUCAUGGGGGGCACCUUUCCAAGUUGCAGGAACCACGGCAGACAUUUGUCCCGCAGUGAGGGUGGGCACGGUGGCACUGCCCGGGAGGUUAAAUUCACGCCCUCCCCGGUGUACCCUGGUGUACACUGCUGUAGAGCGCUCACGGAUCCCGAGGGUGCCCGGUGUUAGCAAGUGUGGUGCGUGAUGAGCAGCAGCCAUCAGGCCCUGAACACCUGGUGGAACAGGCCAGCGUGGCAAAGCACCAGGUAAGCAGGCUCUGGUGAUGCAGCCAGGGGAGCCUGCUCUGACUUCAUCUCACGAUACCAGUGAAGUACCUGCUCUCCACCACUUUCUUCAUUUAACCUCCCCUUGGGGUCAGCUGGUCAUCAGCAUGCCUUCAACCGAGAACACCUCAAAACUUUUCCUGGUCCUCGUGUCACUGCUGCUGGUGCUGCCAGCAGUUGAAGCCCUGGACGCAGGAGACACCAUUGCCUUCCUCCUAGGCCUCGCUGUCAGCGUCGUCGGGUUCUGCGCCUGCCUCGGCUUGUAUGCAAGGAGAAGGAACGGGCUGCAGUGACUUCAGGAAAAUGCUCAGAUGAAGUGGAUUUCUGAACACAGCUUGGGGUUGGGUGUAAGAUGACCUUUGGUUCUGGAUAACUUUCAAAAAAGAUGUAGUAGAUAUUUCUGCAAACCCCUCUUACUGUACAGUGCAGUAGAGUCAAGAUAGUACCCAGUGAAAGAGAUUUGUACAUCUAUCCUCAUUACAAAAAGAUAAUUUUAUAUUGUCUGUGAUUAAAUAUUGCCUUAGAGAAGGGUAAAAACUUUUUGAAUGGAGAAUUGAAACUAUAGAGUGGCUCACGGUAAAAGUUUUUAAAUUUAGCAUUUGAGGGAGGCCAUCAACAAGUUCUAUAAUUUUGGUUUCAAUGUUUAAUCAAGAGGAAGCAGCUAUUAAUCUUCCAGUCAAGAUGACAAGAGUUUUGAAAUUAGUCCUAACUAGAUAGCUAGUGAGCAGACUGCUCUAAUGUGUGUGCUCACGCUCACGUUCUCUGUAAUGACAGUUAACACCUGACACCUUACUUCUGCUGGCACAUGGAUGACAUUUAAGAGAAUUAAGGCAACAUUCUUUUGAUGGAUGACAUUUAAGAGAAUUAAGGCAACAUGAAAGGCUUUUUUUUUCUUUUAGAGUAUUUUUAGAGUAUUUUUAUUUUAGAAUAUGCCGAUCCUGUAGCCUGUAUUCUUGCUACCAAGUAGGUACACCUAAGAAUGAGAUCACCAUUUUUAUUUAACAUCUAUUUCACAGAAAAGUGCAUGUAAGGCUAGAUAAAUCAGAUUAGGGAUAUGGGAUUUGUCUCUUGUUUAUUUUUUGUACUCGGCUUUUUUCUAGGCACACCAGGUUUAAGACUUAGUUCAUUUGGUGUUUGUACUUUUUUUUCUUCAGAACUGAAGACUUAAUUAUUUUGAUGAGGAAUUCUGUGUAUUUCUGCAUUAGAAGAUUACUAGAAUUAUAAUAAGACCAUUGUGCACAAGUGGUUUUUUUACAAUGUGGAAAGAACUUGUUAAAAUCCUGGGUUUAGUCAAUUAGUCCAUUGUUCUGGAGUGUAUUCCUUGUGACAAACCUAUGUUGCUAGCUAAACAUUUAGGCUUCUCUAACUGAUGCAUAUGAUUUCCACAGAAGAUUCGGACCAAAACCAAAGUAAAAUAUCCUUCUGCAAAAUGGGAGAUGUAAAUAGUCUUAUUCUGUUCAUGCUCAGUCAGAUUGCAUGGUAUAUGGUUGAAAGACAGUAGUGUGUCUAGGACCUUUGUCUUUUAAGUACCAAAGGUGAAAUGGUUCAGCCAAGAAUGUCUGCCACAAGUCUUUCUGACUUGUUAGGGUGUUCUAGCUUGAGCCAAGGAGCACAAUCUGUAACAGCAGCAGAAUAAGGAGCAUAGGAAGAUGAGCUCUCCACAGUUCACAGAAUUUCCUUCUGAUCUUGUGCUGUGGACACUGCCACUCUUUGCUAGAAAUCUUGGCUUUUAUCUUUCAGAGUUACCUAUUUUGAUACUAUUCUUCCACUUCCUCUGUGUCUCUGUUCAGUAGAGCAUAAAGCAGUGGCUAUGGGCAGGUCUUAUGUAAGUAAUUGUGUGGGCAGAUGAUGUUCCUCAGAUCCUGAUUUCUGCAUGCCAUUUUUGGCAGAAAGGGACACAAUGCACAAUUACUAUGUACAAGAGAAAUUUACAGCCCUAAGAGGAGCUUCAGACAGAAGUAUCAUCUUUGAAAGCUGCCUAGCAGCAGUAGAUGAUCCUGUACAUGAUAAUUCAACUGGGUGGGUGCAAGCAGAGAUCGAAGUGUGAUCUUUGAUGUUCCAGCUUAGCUAAACAAAAAAAAAGCAAAAAGUGAACAAAACAAAAAUAACCAAUAAAACCCCCCACAAAAUUUCCACUCAAUUCACUUUAUAGUUCCCAAAGUUUAAAAAUUCUGUCAUUUUUUCAGCAAAAUAUUAAGCAUUACUCUUUCAGUAGAAUACAUUUUAACUCAAGCAGAUUUUUACAGACUCUUUUAUCUACACCCUGGGAAUGAUCCCUGGCAAGUUUCACAGAAUUGGGCAACACUUUCACAGCAGGAGAACAAAAGUUUAACAGAGUUAAUUAUCUUCAGGCAGUAGGGAUAUGAGAAAUUGUAUUAUUUGCCCAAAGCUGUAUGUACUUCAUUGAAAGGUGUUUGCACAGCAUAAUGGCUUUGUUUCCUGGGUUCUGAUAGAAGCUUUAUUGUUAGACUUUUGCACAGCAUAAUGGCUUUGUUUCCUGGGUUCUGAUGGAAGCUUUAUUGUUAGACUUGAAUUUGUCAAUUACCUGAGUGUAAAAUCAGUGUAAAAUCAGACACCCCUGUUCUUCCUCUGUCUUAAUAAACUUUGGCGUAUGAUUUGUCAUCAGCUUGAUGAAGUAAUUCUUAUGAAAUGAAAUAUUGAGAAGACAGAAAUUACUGAAACUUUUGAAAUUCCUUCUGUUGGCUAUUAUUUUCUUACCUACUUUUGCUUACGUUAGAUAACUCUAUGAGCUAAUGUAUCGUAAGAUGUGAUUUCAGUUAAUAUUUGUGCAGUGAUUGUACUUCUCUUGGUCCUACUACUUGUUUAUCCCAUUUCAGUAACUUACUUUAAAACAUUUCAGGGAGCUGGUCCCCUUAACUUUGACACAGUCAGCUUGUAGUUGCAAAGAAUCCUGGUAUAAGGAAAACUUGAAGUAUUUCUUUUUUCCUUUUGACUAUGAAUUUUCAACAUGUAGUUGAAACGAAGUUGCCUUUAUACCCAAAAAGCUAUUUAUGUCAGUUUUCUAGCUGGAGACAUAAGGAUAUAAAAGACCACUUUAAG